rnacentral:lncRNA from 1 species
UACCACAUGGGCCGAUCACUGGGAGGUCAUAAUAGUAGAGACCAUAGAGGAUUCAAACUCCUUCCUUGGUAUCCAGCACUACUCAGUUGUAACUGAGAUGGAGUCCGUCCGUUGUAGAAGUUCGUCUGGAAUCUAAUUCUAUUAUAGAAGUUCGGACGGAGUCCGAUUCUUGUAGGAGUCCGGAAGGAGGCCGCUUACUGUAGAAGCUCGGAUGGAGAUCGGUUGCCGUGGAAGUCUGGAUGGAGACCGCUUGCAAUAGAAGUUCGGACGGAAUUCACUUACUGUAGAAGCCCGGGUGAAAUUUGAAAGGUGGUCGACCACUGUAAAAACUUGGAUGGAGUCUGGUUACUGUAGAAGUUCUGCUGCUAGAAAAGCUCGGAUAUUGAUGAAGUCCGAAAGAAGCUCGAAGUAAAGUCGAUCGUGACAGGAGGAAGUCUGGAAGAGAUUCAGAGAGUAGUCGAUCACUGUAGAAAAUUGGCUGAUAGUGAAGCCCAGAAAGUAUUUAGAACAGUCCGAUAGACGACUGAAGGAGCUCAUUAUUGGAGAAAUUCAGAAGGUACGAUAGAAGUUCGUCCGUUGGAAGAAUCUGGAGGACACUGUAGAAGGUCGGCUGUUGGAGGAGUCCAGAUGGUACUGUGGAAGCUCGGAUGGCCGGGGGAGUUCAGAAAGACACCGCACA